AUUGAACGCUGGCGGCAGGCCUAACACAUGCAAGUCGAGCGAGUGGCGGACGGGUGAGUAAUGUCUGUGAAACUUCCCGAUGGAGGGGGAUAACUAAUGGAAACGGUAGCUACUACCGCAUACCAUCGGAUGUGCCCAGAUGGGAUUAGCUAGUAGGUGGGGUAACGGAUCACCUAGGCGACGAUCCCUAGCUGGUCUGAGAGGAUGAGCAGCCACACUGGAACUGAGACACGGUCCAGACCCCGACGGGAGGCAGCAGUGGGGAAUAUUGCACAAUGGGCGCAAGCCUGAUGCAGCAAUGCCGCGGGUAUGAAGAAGGACUUCGGGUUGUAAAGUACUUUCAGCGAGGAGGCGUUACCCGCAGAAAAAGCAUCGGCUAACUCCGUGCCAGCAGCCGCGGUAAUUC
rnacentral:rRNA from 1 species